AGUGAACGCUGGCGGUAGGCCUAACACAUGCAAGUCGAACGGCAGCACAGUAAGAGCUUGCUCUUACGGGUGGCGAGUGGCGGACGGGUGAGGAGUACAUCGGAAUCUACUUUUUCGUGGGGGAUAACGUAGGGAAACUUACGCUAAUACCGCAUACGACCUACGGGUGAAAGCAGGGGAUCUUCGGACCUUGCGCGAUUGAAUGAGCCGAUGUCGGAUUAGCUAGUUGGCGGGGUAAAGGCCCACCAAGGCGACGAUCCGUAGCUGACCUGAGAGGGUGAGCGCCCACACUGGAACUGAGACACGGUCCAGACUCCUACGGGAGGCAGCAGUGGGGAAUCUUCCGCAAUGGGCGCAAGCCUGACGGAGCAACGCCGCGUGAGUGAAGAAGGUCUUCGGAUCGUAAAACUCUGUUAUUAGGGAAGAACAAAUGUGUAAGUAACUAUGCACGUCUUGACGGUACCUAAUCAGAAAGCCACGGCUAACUACGUG
rnacentral:rRNA from 1 species